AAGACACAGUGAUUAAAGUUAUACUCUUGCAUCUUGGAUCUCGGGUUAUUACAUAAUAAUAAUACGCCUCACAGCAUUCUCAACAAUAAUUCCCUUAUUUCGCUGUUGAAUUCUUUGCAUGCCAGAUUUUUUUUUUUUCAAGUGAAGACAGAAUGAUGCAUUCUUCAAAGCGAUAUCUUAAGAACAACAUAUCUACAGUAAAACAGUAACGGAAUAUGGUUCAGAGCUUUCACUUUGCAAAGCGUAAAUUGUGUCUGCAGUAAAUCUUUACGGUCUUGCAUGGUAAGCCGUUUUAACAUGUAAUCCUCUGUUGCUGAUAUCAAAAAUUCAAUUAUUAAUAUCACUAUUUGUUGUACAUUCUUGAUAGCAACAAUUCAAUUAUUGAUAUCAACAAUUAAACAAUUCAGCAUCCGGUUUGAAUUGUUGAUAUCAAAUGCAUACUAAUGAACAUCCGGUUUCUUGUUUGCCCUGGAUAACGUGACAUCAUUGCUGACAGGGAGGUAGCCUCAUAAAACACUGCUACUAAUUAUGUUGUGUUUAGCCACGUUGUUUCUGCCAUAGACAGAGCGAGAACAGAACUGAUUAACAGUAAAGCUUCAAAAUUACUAACAUCAACCCGAAGGUGUUUCCGAAGAAGAAAUAGAGCACCGACAACAACAGCCUUGCCAGGCUGUUUUUUUAUUUUUAAUUGUUCCUGGGGUUGAUACUGUGGAGGAACCCUCUAAGGUGCUUCAAAGAACCUUUUUUUUACAGGGAGUUCUAUAUUUUCUAUUGCAGACUUUUUUUUUUUUUUUUUUGGUCAGGAUGUUAGCUGUGAAUUAUGUAUUUAAAAUUGCAGUUUGCCAAACAAUCAGUAGGAAUUCAUUAGGAAUUUGUUCCCAUUAUUGGAAAGUGUGACGACUUAUUCUUCAACUGAUGAUCAAAAUGAAUAAAGCAUACAACACUGCUGUUUCUAAAUGUUAAUUUAAAAUGUAAUAGAGCACCAGUUGUUCAUAUUUCAGGAACACCAAUACAUGAACUACAAGGUCCUAAUGAGAGGAUCAAAAAGGCCUCUACCAUCACACGUGAGUGGUACAUACAGAAGCUUGAGCAAUUCAUCUGCAAAAGCUACUCGGCAGCCCUUAGGUCAGGUUGGCUUUAGUUUUGCUAAAUCUGAUAAAAGCCGGAAAUUAAUUGGGAUACAAUCGUCUUCUGUUGUUGAAUUGAAAAGCAAGUUGGACGAAGCCGACUUUAUAUUUUAUCACUUGUUUGCAGCAGAAAUGUAACAAUUAGCUAUCGUUUUUGUCCUUUAUUUAUUUUUCAAACUUGUUCUGUUUGACAUUUUAAAUUUGUGUAUUUUUAAUUUUUACUCAUAAGUAGUAAAUGAUAUAUUAUAAAUCAGCUUAUAUUAACAUUGUCAACAUUAUAGCCUAAUAUUUAAAUGUAAUUCUAUGACAAGCCCCAUAAUAAGUGUAGGCAUUUAGCCAGAUUGCAGGGGUCCUAUCUGUCUCUAUACUCAUUCAAAUAAAUACCUUUCAUCUCUGCUUCUUUUUCAUAUCCAUUCUCCUCCCCUCCUCUUCCUUUUAUCGCUCAGCCCUGCACCGGUUUCCCUUUUGGGGGUAAGUGAGUCAUAAUACCAAGCUAGAGGUUCUCUGCUGACUCUGUUCUGUCGCAGCUCAUGUGCUUUUAUUCUUUCAGUCUGUCCGAGAUUCUCUUUCACCUUCAGUUAUCGGGUCCUGCCACAUAGCCCUCUAGCCUCUACUUACUAACCUCUUCCCAACUCUCCAAUUCCAGGACACCUGCAAGUCUCCUCGACUGAUGCCAGGGGUCGCUCUAACUUUUCUUUUGCAAGGGCAUUUAUGGGUAGCUCCACUCCCAAGUUGCUCCUUGGCAGCAGCUCUCCACACAGUGGGGGUCUCUCUCUCUUCAUGUUUUUGGAUCUCCGGGGUUGCCUAGACCAUCCCCUACAAAGUAAACGGUGCUCUCCGAGCCUGCCAUAAAACACUAAUACUCGCCAUCGCCCCGUGAAAGGCCAAUUAAUUACAGUAUUUCUGUUGCUUCUAUGAAAUUCUCAAUUUGAUGUUAAAUCUAAAUAGAAUUAAUAUCUUAAGUUAUUUAAAUUGUUUAACUUAUUAUGACAGGAUGAAGAUUGAAAUGAUUUGGAGUGGAUAAAUGCAGGGACCCCAAAUGUUUAUUUUAGGGCUGGUCCAAGAACAGAGCAAAGUGACAGCACACCUCCAUUCCAGACAAACUCUACUUCUUCACCUAACGGACUGAUGUGGACUUGGCUUCUUUGAUAAGGAUUUUCCAGUUGGAAAAUACAACCCCUGAUCUUGAAAUCUCUAUAGUGGUAAGAAGAAAGAAGAUUCUCAACAGUGUCCUAAAAGCAAUGAACAAACUGAACUUCUCCUGGAAAAGAACACCCCACUUUGAGUUUGUUGGAGAAGAAGCAGAUGAUUAUGGUGGACCCCAAAGAGAGUUUUUCAGAUUUUUGCAGUACAGAUCAGAGGAGGAUCUGGAAGGUCUGAAAUGUAACCUUGGCGACUGGAUAACUGAAUGUGGAGGUCCAAGUAUUUACACAGCUCAGGACUGCCAACAUGAUUACAUAAUUCACACAAGGGCUCAAUGAUUGUGGGAAUCUGUGGAACAUGGUGAGGGAAAACAUUUUUGCUUUCCUGCCAAUUUUCACAAAUAUGCGGGAACCAAUGACAAGAAUCAUGUUCAAAAGCUUGUUUGAGAUUGGUUGGAGUGCACAAGGAUCCACCAAACGUGACACCAAGGAGACGGUGUACGCAUGGGAGCUGUUUCUGAACAUGGUGAAUGGUAAGGUUCUUGGAUUUUCUGUAUGUGUACAGAAUCAAAUAUUUAAAAUAAAAAAUAAAAAAGUGUUUUAAAAAUGGAAGUUUAAGUAUAGUUUAACCCAGUAUAUGUUCUGCACCUUCUAAAAAAUAUUUGUUAGCACAUUUAAAUGUUUCCCCUUAAACC